rnacentral:tRNA from 1 species
GAGGAGUUAGUUAAUUAAUAAUUUGAGUUUGUCAAACUCAAGUUGCCUUGUAUGGUACUCCUUU